rnacentral:rRNA from 1 species
UGCAAGUCGUGCGGACCUUUUAAAAGCUUGCUUUUAAAAGGUUAGCGGCGGACGGGUGAGUAACACGUGGGCAACCUGCCUGUAAGACCGGGAUAACGCCGGGAAACCGGGGCUAAUACCGGAUAGUUUUUUCCUCCGCAUGGAGGAAAAAGGAAAGGCGGCUUCGGCUGCCACUUACAGAUGGGCCCGCGGCGCAUUAGCUAGUUGGUGGGGUAAUGGCCCACCAAGGCAACGAUGCGUAGCCGACCUGAGAGGGUGAUCGGCCACAUUGGAACUGAGACACGGCCCAAACUCCUACGGGAGGCAGCAGUAGGGAAUCUUCCGCAAUGGACGAAAGUCUGACGGAGCAACGCCGCGUGAGUGAAGAAGGCCUUCGGGUCGUAAAACUCUGUUGCCGGGGAAGAACAAGUGCCGUUCGAACAGGGCGGCGCCUUGACGGUACCCGGCCAGAAAGCCACGGCUAACUAC